UGUAACAAGGUUUUCGUAGGAGAACCUGCGGAAGGAUCAUUGUCGAAACCUGCAAAGCAGAACGACCCGCGAACACGUUUAGAACACCGGCCGCGCUGCGCAGGCAGGGUGCUUCGGCCCCCAUCCGCGCGCGCGUAUCUCCCGUCCUUGGCGCGCGCUUGCGCUGGCCGGGUGACCAACUAACCCCGACGCGGAAAGCGCUAAGGAAUACUUAAGCUGGCAGCCCGCCCCCCCGCGCGUCGGGGGGAACGUGUGCUCCUUUCGAAAUGAAAUGACUCUCAGCAACGGAUAUCUUAACUCUCGCAUUGAUGAAGAAUGUAGCAAAAUGCGAUACUUGGUGUGAAUUGCAGAAUCCCAUGAAACAAYGAGUCUUUGAACGCAAGUUGCACCCGAAGCCAUUAGGCCGAGGGCACGUCUGCCUGGGCGUAAUGCAUCGCAUCGCCCCGCCCGCACACUGCUCUCCGGGGGGGCGGAUACUGGCCUCCCGUGCGCCUAGAGAUCACAGAUGGCCUAAAUGCGAGUCCACGUCGACGGACGUCGCGGCAAGUGGUGGUUGAACCUCAACUCUCGUGGUUGCCGCGGGUACAGAUCGUCGCGCGUGUGGCCUCCCCGACCCUUCACGUGCUUAGGCGCUCCGACCGUGACCCUAGGUCUGGCGGGAUUACCCACUGAGUUUAAGCAUAUCAAU
rnacentral:misc_RNA from 1 species